rnacentral:rRNA from 1 species
GAUGAACGCUGGCGGCGUGCCUAACACAUGCAAGUCGAGCGAAGAGGGGACGGGGGAGUAACAUGUGGAUAACCUCCUAUAAGACUGGGGUAACUUCGGGAAACCGGAGGCAAACCGGAUUCUUAGAGCUGGAUCCGCGCGGCAUUAGCUAGUUGGUAAGGUAACGGCUUACCAAGGCAACGAUGCAUAGCCGACCUGAGAGGAUGAUCGGCCACACUGGAACUGAGACACGGUCCAGACUCCUACGGGAGGCAGCAGUGGGGAAUCUUCCGCAAUGGGCGAAAGCCUGACGGAGCAACGCCGCGUGAGUGAUGAAGGUCUUCGGGUCGUAAAACUCUGUUAGUAGGGAAGCGGUACCUAAUCAAAAAGCCCCGGCUAACUACGUGCCAGCAGCCGCGGUAAUAC